UACGAAGGGUGCAAGCGUUACUCGGAAUUACUGGGCGUAAAGCGUGCGUAGGUGGUUUGUUAAGUCUGUUGUGAAAGCCCCGGGCUUAACCUGGGAAUGGCAUUUGGGACUGCAAGGCUUGAGUGCGGCAGAGGAGACUGGAAUUCCUGGUGUAGCAGUGAAAUGCGUAGAUAUCAGGAGGAAUACCGAUGGCGAAGGCAGGUCUCUGGGCUGACACUGACGCUCAUGCACGAAAGCGUGGGGAGCAAACAGG
rnacentral:rRNA from 1 species